rnacentral:rRNA from 1 species
GACGAACGCUGGCGGCGUGCUUAACACAUGCAAGUCGAACGGAAAGGCCCCUUUGGGGGUACUCGAGUGGCGAACGGGUGGGUAACACGUGAGUAACCUGCCCUUGACUUCGGGAUAACUUCAGGAAACUGGGGCUAAUACCGGAUAGGAAUCCUUGCUGCAUGGGGGGGGUUGGAAAGCUUCGGCGGUUUUGGAUGGACUCGCGGCUUAUCAGCUUGUUGGUGGGGUAGUGGCUUACCAAGGCUUUGACGGGUAGCCGGCCUGAGAGGGCGAGCGGCCACAUUGGGACUGAGAUGCGGCCCAGACUCCUACGGGAGGCAGCAGUGGGGAAUAUUGCACAAUGGGCGGAAGCCUGAUGCAGCAACGCCGCGUGCGGGAUGACGGCCUUCGGGUUGUAAACCGCUUUCAGCAGGGGCGAAGCUUGUGGUGACGGUACCUGCAGAAGAAGCACCGGCUAACUACGUG